rnacentral:rRNA from 1 species
GUCUGAGUGUGAGCAUACAUGUUGGGACCCGAAAGAUGGUGAACUAUGCCUGAAUAGGGUGAAGCCAGGGGAAACUCUGGUGGAGGCUCGUAGCGAUUCUGACGUGCAAAUCGAUCGUCAAAUUUGGGUAUAGGGGCGAAAGACUAAUCGAACCAUCUAGUAGCUGGUUCCCUCCGAAAUUUCCCUCAGGAUAGCUGCGAUCGGCACAGAGGGUGAUAGCCCCGUAUUCGAAAGCGAGUAGCCUCCGCCGGAUAUCUCGAGUAGCGCCUGUCCCGUGGAACCAGGCGUGAAUCAGCGCGGCCCACCGCGCAAGGCUAAAUACUCCUUGGUGACCGAUAGUGAAGAGUAGCGCGAGCGAAAGGUGAAAAGAACCCCUGUUAGGGAGUGAAAUAGAACCUGAAACCGUAUACCUACCAGCGGUCGGAGCCCUAUUCAUGGGGUGACGGCGUGCCUUUUGUCGAAGUGCGGCCAGUUAUUAGUUCUGGUUGCUGAACUGGGGUGGCGAAUAGGAAAAUCCGUUCGCGUGAUCUCCGGUUCGGGUGGUAACCGCGUGGAAGUCCGUCCAAGAAAACCUUCGCUGGAGCGAAGCAGUGACCGUACCAAAUCUGACACAGGAGGGUGAGGCGAAUAGCCUCAGGCGCUCGAGAGAACCUUACGUGAAGGAACUAGGCAAAUUAACCCCGUAAGUUCGCGAUAAGGGGAGCCACCGCGAGGUGGCCGCAGGAAAACGAUGGCUGCGACUGUUUACUAAAAACACAGGUCUCUGCGAAGUCGUCGAAGACGACGUAUAGAGACUGACGCUUGCCCGCUGUUGGAACGUUAAGAUGAGUGGUUAGAGCAAUCGAAGCUGCGAGUCGAAGCGCCAAUGAAGGGCGGCCGUAACUAUGACGGUCCUAAGGUAGCGAAAUUCCUUGUCGGGUAAGUUCCGACCCGCACGAAUAGCGUAACGACAGCCAUACUGUCUCCACGAAGGACUCGGCGAAAUUGUGGUCGUGGUGAAGACGCCACGUUCCCGCACCAAGACGGAAAGACCCCGUGAACCUUUACUAUAACCUAAUACUGGCUCUAGGUUUGUCAUGUGUAGCAUAGGUGGGAGACGUUGAUGUCGGCGGCGCCAGCCGUCGAAUAGUCACCGGUGAAAUACCACUCUUGGCAUAUUUGGAGUCUAACCUGUGACCGUCAUCCGGCAUGGGAACAGUGUUAGGCGGGUAGUUUGACUGGGGCGGUCUCCUCCUAAAGAGUAGCGGAGGAGUGCAAAGGUACACUCAGAGCGGUUGGUAAUCGCUUGUAGAGCGUAAAGGUAUAAGUGUGCUUGACUGCGAGACAUAUAGGUCGAGCAGGUACGAAAGUAGGUCUUAGUGAUCCGGUGGUCCCGUGUGGAAGGGCCAUCGCUCAUCAGAUAAA